AUGGAUGCAAUUGCACAUUGGGCCUUUAGCCCAUCGGUGCUAUCGUUCCUCCAUCACAGGCCUCGGUAUACGACGGUGACUACCAGUCCGCCCACCCCUGGGGUUCCACUUCCACCAAGAUUCCACCAAGAGAGAGGAAAGGGGAUCGGGAGUCAGUUAUGCGCCGCCGCCUGUCGUCCACCGAUCUCCCCCAUCGCGCCGUCGUCGUCGCCGUCGCCGUCGGAUGCCUCGAAUGAGGAUCCACCGGUGCUUGAGCAGAGGCGACCAAAUAAGCAGCUCCCAAAGGGGAGCUGCACUCCCCAAUCGAAGCAGCGGCAGCUCCAUUCCGAGCUGCGACCGGCAAUUGAAGCAAUCGAAGCGGCUCCCUUUCUUAGCGGCGAUCCGGAAUCAAAGCAGUCCAUUACAAUCAGAAACAGGCCCCAUUUCGAAUUCAGUCUCCGAGUUUCCAUUGGUGGCGGGAACCCAGCAGCUAUAUAUACUAUCUGGCCGGACGGCACCGCAGCACCGCCAGUUUUCGAAGGAGACCAACUCACGGCAACUCGUGAGCCUUCAGCUUGCCGAAUUUCGGAGGGGACGAGCAAACUCCCGUGGCAUCCGGCGAUGUCGAGCUCUCUUCGCCGGCGACCGGCUGCAAGACCGACGGCCAAGCCAUCCGCCAAGGGCCGCCUCAACAGCUCUAACCGAUGGUCCUCUCUAGCCAAUCUGGGAGAAGAGGAAGGGCAUCAUCAGGAUGAUCGGCUCAGCAGUUUGCCUAAUGAUUUGUUGCUUAAUAUCAUAGAGCGACUUGAUACCACAGAUGCCGCAAGAACCGGCAUCCUUUCCAGACGGUGGAAGCCAAUCCCUGCUAUGCUCUCCAAAAUUUGUCUGACGGUUGGUUCCUCGGACUGUGACUAUGACAGGUCAAAGUUGACCUGUGACCAUGUAGUUCGGGCCAAUGCCAACAUGCUUCAAGCAACCAGGAACUUGCUGGAAAGCAGGACAAGCCUAUACCCCAUUCAUCUCCUGCGCUUGCAGUUUUUCUUGGGAGAUGAAUCCGAUAGCAUUGGCCGGGCUGUUGCCAACACCAUAUCAACAAAAAAGGUUGGAUCUGUCGAGUUAACUCUCCUCACAAAGAAGGGAGGCAGCCAAUGCUCCCCUGCCGAUUUCCUCACUCACGGGAAACAGCUCAAGUCAUUUGUUGAUGCUUGUCCUAACACAUUCGGUGGUCUUUCACGACUGAGCCUAGAGAAUUUAAGGCUAGGUGAAUCAGAUUUCCCUAAAAUUUUCAGCAUAUCCAAGCGAUUGGAGUUCCUCCGCUUGUGCAACUGUGACAUGGGACUGCUGUCUUUGCUAGAAGUGGAACACCCGCAACUCCGUGAACUUGAGAUUCUCAAGAGUGAUUUUGAGAGAGUUGAUCUGAAUUGGCUGCCGAAGCUCACAACAUUAUCUUUUGCAUGUUGGAUAUCUAAGCAUGAUCCUUUGUCUUUUGGUUAUGUCCCAUUGCUCCAGACCUUGAAUAUCAGUAAUACCGCUCUUUCAUAUCAUAAGAUGCUCAAGCUAAGUGAGUUACUUGGCAAAGCCGCUAUAAGGGACCUGCAUUUGAACUUUGAAAGCGAAAAGAUUUGGGUUAAACCGGAAGGUCCAAGAGAAUUAUCUCAGGUGUUCGACAAACUAAGGCUUGUGAGUUUGGCUGACAUUUCAGAAGAGUGUGAUCUGACUUGGACAAUGUUCGUUCUUCAAGGCGCACCCUCCCUUCAGGAGCUAUCCAUCAAGGUGUGGGAUCAUCUAUGUGAUAUGGUCGAGGAUGAGGAGCUUAGGAAGAGGCUCAAGUAUACCGAGGUGAAGAAGGAUGCGUGUGCACAGUGGGAAGCACCUGCAUCGGGUUUCAAGCACCACAAUCUGACUGUGCUGAGGAUCUUUGGGUUUCAGUCAGAGGACAAAUUUGUGGAUUAUAUCGCGGGUGUGAUAGAAGCAUCCGUCAGUCUUGAGGACAUAUACUUGUAUGAGAAGCCAGCAUGUGAGACAUGUAAGCGCAAUACCAAGGACAGGUACCCACGGACAAACAAGGAGAGGAUUGCGCUUAGGAACAUAUUCAACUGGGAGAUGUCCUCCUUUGCAAGGAUUCACUUUCCGAGUUCAAGAAACUGA
rnacentral:rRNA from 1 species